UUCUGAUUUUACAGGCUCAUAGGCAGAAGGGACUUGCCUUGUCUCAGAUGAGACUUUAGACUGUAGACUUUUGCGUUAAUACUGAAAUGAGUUAAGACUUUGGGGGACAGUUGGAAGGCAUGAUUGGUUUUGAAAUGUGAGAACAUGAGAUUUGGAAGGGCCAGGGGUAGAGUGAUAUGUUUUGGCUCUGACCCCACCCAAAUCGCAACUUGAAUUGUAUCACCCAGAAUUCUCAUGUGUUGUGGGAGGGACUCAGGGGGAGGUAGCUGAAUAAUGGGGGCCCAUUUUUCUGGUGCUAUUCUCAAGAUAGUGAAUAAGUCUCAUGAGAUCUAGUGGAUUUAUCAGGGGUUUCCCCUUUUGCAUUUUCCUCAUUUUCUCUUGCCACCACCAUGUAAGAAGUGCCUUUUGCCUCCCACCAUGAUUCUAAGGCCUCCCCAGUCACAUAGAACUGGCAGAAAGCUUAAAUGUGGUUACUCAACCAGAGCUGUGGAGAAGUGUACUUGGCUGCCGAGUUAUAGGGUGAGUAACUAAAAAUAAAUGUGUUCAGCACUUACCUCUUCUAGUUCAAUGCUGUCCAGUUGAGUUUCAAUGUUUGUGUUUUGAUAGACAGACAUAUCUUUAGAAGUUCUCAAUUUAUCUAACCCAAGUUUUGGAAAAUUGUUUUCAGUUUGAUGAUAGUAAUAAAAUAUUAGGACAAAUAUACCCUAGAUAAUCUGAAUGACCACAUUAUAAUCAAAUAAUACUGGCACCUCUUGUGUGUGUGAUUGCCAUUUAUAAUUGCCAUGUAGCACAAAUCUAAUUACUGUGUACCAAUUAGAAAGGAACAAUUGUGAACCUAAUCUUGAACUGACUACACAGAAAACAGAAAUAAUGUCAGGAUGCAUUGGAAAAGCAAAAUAGGUCAGCAGAGAAAAUGAUGGAAGAUUUGAGCCAAUACAAGAGAUGUUGUAGUGCAGGCUUGCUGAACUCAGAAAACAAAUGCAAUAGUCAUCAGGACAUUUAG
rnacentral:lncRNA from 1 species